CCUACGGGUGGCAGCAGUGAGGAAUAUUGGUCAAUGGGCGCGAGCCUGAACCAGCCAAGUAGCGUGAAGGAUGACUGCCCUACGGGUUGUCAACUUCUUUUAUAAAGGAAUAAAGUGAGGCACGUGUGCCUCUUUGCAUGUACUUUAUGAAUAAGGAUCGGCUACUCCGUGUCAGCAGCCGCGGUAAUGCGGAAGAUUCGGGCGUUAUCCGGAUUUAUUUGGUUUAAAGGGAGCGUAGAUGGGUUGUUAAGUCAGUUGUGAAAGUUUGCGGCGCAACCGUAAAAUUGCAAUUGAUACUGGCAGCCUUGAGUACAGUAGAGGUAGGCGGAAUUCGUGGUGUAGCGGUGAAAUGCUUAGAUAUCACGAAGAACUCCGAUUGCGAAGGCAGCCUACUAAACUGCCACUGACAUUGAUGCUCGAAAGUGUGGGUAUCAAACAGGAUUAGAUACCCUAGUAGUC
rnacentral:rRNA from 1 species